AUGUGUAUACCAAAAAAGAAAGGUGGAAUGGGCUUUAGGGAUAUUCAGUGCUUUAAUCUUGCACUCUUGGCAAAACAAGCAUGGAGACUCAUUGAGAACCCGGAUUCUCUAUGUGCAAAGAUCCUCAAAGCAAAGUACUACCCUAAUGAUGAUUUGCUGAGUGUUACUCUAAAAAAGAAAUCUUCGUAUACUUGGCAAAGCAUAAUGGUAGGAGUGGAUACCCUGAAGUGCGGUCAUAUAUGGAGGGUGGGUGAUGGACGACAAAUAAUUUGGGAGGACAGUUGGAUACCUCAAUCACCUAACAGGAAGGUUAUCUCAUUGAGAGGGAACCAUAUCCUAACCCGAGUGGAAGAACUAAUUGAUCCAGGGACAGGGGAUUGGGAUGCGCCGCUAGUGAACCAAACAUUCUGCAGUGUUGAUGCCCAAAGAAUUCUCUCAAUCCCGCUACCAGUUUAUGAGAUGACAGACUUUGUGGCUUGGAGCUACACAAAGACGGGUGUUUUUUCAGUGAGGUCUGCCUAUCAUGCAGUCUGGGAGACUAAGUUUGGGCAACGGUCACAACAUGUGGGCACUUCGUCCACAAUUACACCCACUUGGGAUUCUAUCUGGUCUCUGAACUGUCCAGGUAAAGUCAAAAUUUUCACUUGGAGAGCGCUUAACAGCUCAAUACCUUGCCGAGCAAACCUGUCUGAUAGGCACAUUAAAAUCUCAUCACAAUGCCCAGUAUGUCAUGAUGGUCCUGAAACACUUCAACACCUCCUGUUCGCGUGCCCGGUGGCAGUGGAGGUUUGGAAAUUGCUUGGUUUGAUUGAUGUGAUA
rnacentral:rRNA from 1 species